rnacentral:rRNA from 1 species
UACGUAGGGGGCAAGCGUUGUCCGGAAUCAUUGGGCGUAAAGAGCGUGUAGGCGGCCUGGUAAGUCCGCUGUGAAAGUCCAGGGCUCAACCCUGGAAUGCCGGUGGAAACUGUCAGGCUCGAGUCCGGAAGAGGCGAGUGGAAUUCCUGGUGUAGCGGUGAAAUGCGCAGAUAUCAGGAGGAACACCGGUGGCGAAGGCGGCCCUCUGGACGGAUACUGACGCUGAGGCGCGAAAGCGUGGGGAUCAAACAGG